rnacentral:rRNA from 1 species
GACGAACGCUGGCGGCGUGCCUAAUACAUGCAAGUUGAGCGCUGAAGGUUGGUACUUGUACCAACUGGAUGAGCAGCGAACGGGUGAGUAACGCGUGGGGAAUCUGCCUUUGAGCGGGGGACAACAUUUGGAAACGAAUGCUAAUACCGCAUAAAAACUUUAAACACAAGUUUUAAGUUUGAAAGAUGCAAUUGCAUCACUCAAAGAUGAUCCCGCGUUGUAUUAGCUAGUUGGUGAGGUAAAGGCUCACCAAGGCGAGGAUACAUAGCCGACCUGAGAGGGUGAUCGGCCACAUUGGGACGGAGACACGGCCCAAACUCCUACGGGAGGCGGCAGUAGGGAAUCUUCGGCAAUGGGCGAAAGUCUGACCGAGCAACGCCGCGGGAGGGAAGAAGGGUGUCGGAUCGUAAAACUCUGUUGGUAGGGAAGAACGUUGGUGAGAGUGGAAAGCUCAUCAAGUGACGGUAACUACCCAGAAAGGAACGGCUAACUACGUG